rnacentral:rRNA from 1 species
CCCAAUGAGGAUUUAAAUGGCCGCAGUAUUUUGACUGUGCAAAGGUAGCAUAAUUAUUAGUUUUUUAAUUGAAAGCUUGUAUGAAGGGUUGGGCGAGAUAAAAUCUGUCUUUAUUUAAAUUAAAGUAGAAUUUAAUUUUUAAGUCAAAAGACUUAAAUGUUUAUAACAGACAAGAAGACCCUAGAGAUCUUUAUUUAAUAAAGAUUUUAAUAAUUUAGGAUUAUUUAAAUUUGGAAUUUGUAUUAAAUUUUAUUCGGGUAAUAUAAAGAUUAAAUAAAUUCUUUUUAUUUAUUACAUUGAUUUAUNNNNNNNNNNNCCAAUACUAUUGAUUAUAAGAUUAAGUUACCUUAGGGAUAACAGCGUAAUUAUUUUGGAGAACUCAUAUCGAUAAAAAGGUUUGCGACCUCAAUGUUGGAUUAAAAAUUAGCUUGGCUGCAGAAGCUCAAGAAUUUGGUCUGUUCGACCAUUAAAUUUUUACAUGAUCUGAGUUCAGAACGGCGUAAGCCAGGUCGGUUUCUACCUUUAUUGAACUAAAAUAUUUUAGUACGAAAGGACCAAAUAUUUAAUAUAUUUAUAUUUUAUUUUUGAAUAAUAUUAUUACUUUGGCAGAAUAGUGCAAUGAAUUUAGAAUUCAUAUAUGUAAUUUUAUUACAAGUAAUACUUGUNNNNNNNNNAUUUAUUAUUAAUAUUAUUAUGUAUAUUGAUUCUUGUGAUUUGUGUGUUAGUAGGAGUAGCUUUUUUAACUUUAUUAGAAUGUAAGGUUUUAGGAUACAUUCAAAUU